rnacentral:tRNA from 1 species
GGGACAUUAGCUCAGUUGGUUAGAGCGCUGUGUUCACACCGCAGAGGUCACUGGUUCGAAUCCAGUAUGUCCCACCA